GGUUAGCCGCGCCGGGCUACUUUCCCCCCUGUCAAAAUACCAAAUCCUCUCCAAACUACUUGAAUGAAUAAGUUAUUUAAUUAUUGAAAUUGUUAUCCAUUUGUAAAGCUUAGCUCCUCAUGUACGCGUCAUCUGCUGUCAUAACGUCGUUUGCUGCGAGCCAUGUACCAGCGUCAACUCGAGGCUCCAGUCUGGACUGUUCCUCCAAGGCUUCCUGCCUCUUCUCAACCAUGCUGACUGCCUUCAGCUCCAGAAUGUCGGCCUGCUUCAUUUUCUGGCUCAGCACCUCUGUCACACGCUCCACGUACCUGCACACAAGUGUUUAUUGUUUUGUUUGAGUUUAUUUGUCUGGGACCAUGAACAGACAAUAUGCUUGUUCUUUGUCUGCCAAAAUAUUUAUCUUACCAGGCAGAGUUUGUCAAAGAACAUUUCACUUGCUUCAAGCAUUCGCUUCCUCACAAAUCUUAAUAAGUUUUUUUUUGUGCAGGGACAGCGUACCGCGGCGAGGCCAGGAUCAUGAAGAGGUGCUGCAUCCGGAGCGACGUGAGUCGGCCCAGCAGGUCCUGCACCUCCGACAGCAUGCCGCGGACAUGCUCGCUGCUCUGGAUGAGGAUGAUACGCGGCGCCGACUGGAACUGACUCAUGGCCACCACGUCGCUCUCUUGGCCCAUCUCGGUGAGGCGCUGGCUCAAGAACGCUUCCAGCUGCGCGGGGGGCAGGAACAGGAUGCAUUUAUAAGAGAAGUGUCUCCUCCACGUGCGGCCUCUCCGUCACCCUGGGAACCUUCCCGGUCCUCCACUCGUAGAAUGUGGGGUUUCCUCUCUUCUGCACGAAUGUCAACAUAGGAAGAACCGGCUCCGACCUGCCGACAGAUACUCGUCAGCUAAACAACGGGAUAGGAGCAUACAGUGGACAGAAUCGGAUCGGAACCUGCGGAUUCACUUAUUCGUGGAUAUGUUUCAAAUUUGGUUUUCAAAAAUUUUGUUUUUUCAAAUAUGUUUUUUUUGAGGGGGGCAACAACAACAAAAACGCUUAUUGGCAGUAUAUCUAUAUAUACCUGUAGUAUAGUAGCAGUAUACUGUAUACAGUUAUUUUUCCUCAAUGCAGUUAUAAUGGAUGUCAAUUAUUCACGGAUUUUCACUAUUCGCAGUCGGGCCUGGUCCCUAUCCCCCACGAAUAGCGGAGAUCCUUAUUGAUUUUUUUUAUGUUUAUAUACUCACCACUCGCAUACGAAGUUGGUGAAAGCGGUGUAAAGUUGGAUUUUCUCUUCAAGCCUGGCGGCAUCCGUCCCCACUUUGUCAAGAACAUCUGGUAGCUCUUUGACCAGAGCCUGCAGCUCACGAGGAACAUUGUCUCCCUGGAAGAAGCGCAGCAUGGUGACUACAGUGCAUCCGUGCAUACUUUCUGUGAUGUUUUUGCAAGGUGGGGUGCUGUGAAAUUUUUGUAAUGUAAAUUAUGUGGUUUGGCUUGAAGGUUAGAAAACUCUUGACAUAGAACAGUGUAUGUUCUUGGAUUCAUCUUACUACUCCUCCGACGUGACCUCACCUUGAUGCCGUACUGCUUGCAGGCGGCGUAGUAGUGCUCCUGCAGGUUGCCGGCCGAGCUGUGGCACUCCAUCUCUCGCCGGCUCAUCUCCUGCUGCAGCUGCUUGGCUUUGGCCAGCUGCUUCCUCAGAGCCGGACCCUCGUAGCUGACGUUGCGACUCAGCAGGCUGGCCACCUCGGCUGUAACAUACCCCCCGAAAAAAACAAAAAACAAACACUGGCUACUGUGCUGCUCCUUUUCCGAUGUUCUCAAGCGAUCUUUAAUUGAUUUUGCGCUCACCCAAAUAGAUGUUAUCUCCUUGGUACAGGUUCACAAUCUCUUGCCAGUCCUGCAAGCACACAAACACACAAUCACAAAACUUUUGAAGUGACUUGACAAUGAACAAGAAGGCCGCAGCAGCAAUUUAGAUUGGAUUGGAUCUUCUCACCUUCAUCCUCUGUGAAGAAUAUUUGCCAAAGAUGUUCUUGGACGACUCUUCAGUCCCCUUCAGGAUUUCCACGAUUCUCAAGCAGUGGAAGUAGUGAAUGUCUACAUGGAACAGGGUAAAAAAAUCUGUUAUAAAUGUGUAGUUGUAUUAUACGUAGUUGUUGCAUUCAAAUUAUAUAAUCUGUGUAACUUUAAAUAGUGACUAUCGAACAUUAAUUCCAGUGUGUACCACUGCACCACUAAAUAAUGUGACACUGCCCACCAGUGGUGGAAACAACAACAUACAAAUACAGACUCCUUGACGCAGGUCGGACUGCAGCAAUCUAUUAUUUUUAGAAUCAAUAUGCUACCGAUUAUCGCAUUGAUUCAAAAUUAAUUUUGCAUUACUAAACAACAAAAUAUGGAUGUGAGGUACGGGUAUUAUUUUUGUCCACUUGGGGUCGUCAUCUUCAAGUUCUACACUGUAGUAUCUGUGAUUAAGUGUGUGUAGAUUUAAAAGGUGGGCCUUGGCUUGGUGAAUGAUAACAGAUGGAUACCUACAGGAGCCUGAGAGGAGCUGCUUGAUCUCAUUGUUCUCCGGCAUGUCCUGCAUGGCGCCGUUGAUUUUCUCUCGGAUCCCUUUGACAGCAUUCUGCCAUUUGAGAUUGCAGUGACGACGAUCUAUCAGCCAGUCUGCGCACACACACACACACACACACGUACGCACGCGCACACACACACACACACACACACACACACGUGAGAACAUGUUGACUCCAUGUCAGGCGAACCAUUGUGCCGCAGUGUGUUUCGAUUUAAGUGAUUUUUUUUUUAACUAAAGAUUUUGCACAAUUUCACAUAGUUUUAAGACUAAAUGAAAAAGCUUUAUAUAUUUAUUUUAUUUUUUAUUUUUGUCAUCUGUUUAGUAAUAUUAUUUAAGUAUACCUUUGACAUUUUAUUGUUUAUUUUAUCUAAUACUCUGCUUUUGUACAUGUAGUUUUUGUUGUUGUUGCUCAACAAGUUAUUUUUGCAUUUUGCUGUUGUAGUUUUGCGGCACGGUGAACGACUGGUUAGAGUGUCUGCCUCACAGUUCUGAGGACUGGGGUUCAAAUCCCGGCCCCGCCUGUGUGGAGUUUGCAUGUUCUUCCCGUGCCUGUGUGGGUUUUCUCCGGGUACUCCGGUUUCCUCCCACAUCCCAAAAACAUGCAGGGUAUUGAAGACUCUAAAUUGUCCGUAGGUGUGAAUGUGAGUGUGAAUGGUUGUUUGUUUGUAUGUGCCCUGCGAUUGGCUGGCGACCAGUUCAGGGUGUACCCCGCCUCUCGCCCAAAGUUAGCUGGGAUAGGCUCCAGCACGCCCGCGACCCUAGUGAGGAGAAGCGGAAUGGAAGAUGAAUGAAUGUUGUAGUUCUUUUUUUAAAACCAACUGUGCACUGGUAUGUUUUUGUUACUUUUAGUAAGUUCGAUCAAUGAUUCCAAUCAUUGUCAACCACAUCAGUGUUGUGAGAGAAUAUCAGGUGUGAGAAUGGGAAAUGAUCCAACUCCAGUAAAUUUAUUUCCUACAAAUUAUGUAUCUUAGUUCAUCUAUGUCAGCAACAUAUAGUGACAGGCAGACCAAUGAAAUGCUCUUCUAUUAGAUGUCAGAAGACACAAUUAACCUGUGUAUCCAUUAUUAUUUAAUUUAAGUACACAGUAAUACAUUUUUUGUGACAUUUUUGUUUGGUGGUGUACAAUUACUUUUUUUCCCCAAUAUGUGCCUUGGCUCGAUAAAGUUUGGAUGUAAUGCGUUAUGACAUUAAACGCAUCCCACUGUGGAGGGACUUCCAAUAUU